CCACAGUGUCUCUUCCCCAGGCUAAGUAGGUGGGCUUCUCUUUGCUUUUUGCUCACUUUUUCUUUAUAUUUGGUAAAACCAUUAGCUUAUUUUGAUUUUAGCUACCUUCCAAUUCUGAUUGCUUUAAGGAAAUUAUGUUAUAUAGAGCAAUAAAACUGGAAGGAACCUCAGCAAUCACAUAAUCUGAGUCUCUUAGCCACCUACUCCUCCUCCAAAGCAAGCAUCUCAGAGUGUAUACCCUUAGCACCUCAGUGCCUGCUAUGUCAUAAGUGUUUAGAAUGCUGUUUAAUUGAAUAAAUGUCCAAAGCUUUACAGCCAAAUUUGGAUGUUAUAGUUUUGGAAACCAUAACAAUUGUCAACCUGGUGUGAGUAAACAAUCUGAAGAAGGCGGUUUGAGAACUUUCCCUCAGACCUUUAGGAAGACAUACCUCAUUCUGCCAAGAAUAAAGAAGAGAAACAGACUUUUUGACUUUUAAAAGAUCUUCAGUUUUCUUUUACUGAUUUCUCCAAUGAAAACAGCAUUCAUGAAUGACUCAGGCAUUGUUGAAUCCGCUUAAAUUUUUUCUUUCCAAUUUUGCUUAUUUUAUAUCUUCUGCCUGAAAUGGAAAAAAUCACAGGAUUCACGGUAUCAAAGAAGCAUCUUCAAACAUCCAGACCAAUGGAUCUCAGGCUGAUCAAGGAGGAACGCGCCCCCUGUGUGAGCUGAUAACAGACAAUUCCCACAGAGCUUUUUCAGAAGCUCACCCAAGACCGCCAGUUACUGUCUACCUCACUUUCUGUUCGAAGUCUAGGAGCAGAGUGAAUAAGGACAAUGAUGUGAAAUGGACAUUCUAUCUGGAAAUCUUCAUGAUAUCAACAAAUCUUCUCAUGAGUGAUUCAUAAACUGGAAAAUAGCUCAAGGUAGCUAAGUUUGUCAUUACAUGCAACAACCUGAAAAGGUGCUUUUCUUCUGAGAGAGAGUAAAAACGGUUUCUGAAAGGAAAUCCUUUAGGAAAUUAGGUAAUACAGCUCUGGACAUCAUGUACUAUCAUACUCUUUGCUGAGACAUAUUCUUUGGAAAAUACAGAAAAAGUCUAGUUCUAAACCACAAGUGAGGCUAUCAAUGGGUAUCAUUCGAUGAUAAACAACUCUUGAAAAGGAAGAGAAGUAGAAUAGUUGGAACUACAAUUAAUUGAAAAAGUGGGUUAAAGCAGUGAGUCAGAAACACAUACUUAUCUUCAUUAAAUAUAUUUUAAGACAUAUAAAUGUGCAUUCAUUUGCCAAUCUUUUUGCUUAAUGCUAUUCAUUUACUUUGAGUGUGUAUGUACUAAUUGCAAUUCUUUUUUGACUUUAUUUCUCAAACCAGAAUGCAUCAUCUGUGAUUUCUAUCUCCAGUUUCUUUAAAAUGGAGCGAGAACUUUAAGAACUUGUGAUGUAACUUUAGUGCAAGAUGCAUCUAAAUUUUUAUGAAAUAUUUGUGAAUAUUUCAUAAUUAUCUUGCCCAUACUACAUUUGAAGGAAGUUUUUUAUAAAACAACUUUGUGUACCAAGACUGCAAAACUUGACUGCUCUUUUAUUCGGGUCAUUACUCAAGGUUGUUUAUGCAGCAACUUUGGGAAAUGAGGUAAUAUCGCUCCGUGGACAAAGAGUAGGCUUACAGCUUGUUAUGAAAGAGGUAGAUUCUCCAAGUGCAAUGUUCCUCAAAUGAAAUGCAAACUGACUGCAUGUGUAGCAUCCAUUUUGGCCUGACAUAUGGGAAGUUCCACUUGGAAGCAAGGGGAACUAAUGCAAAUAUGCCAAUGCUCCUGUUGCUUGCUAUGCUAUAAGUAAUAAAGUCUUUUGUCUCUGACCUAGGAGUCUUGUA
rnacentral:lncRNA from 1 species